AGUGUGGGCAUAUUCAGUGUACAAUAGGUGUGUCAAACAGAGCAGAAUGAUAAUCAUUACAGGGCAUCACGACAUCCUUGUAUAAUGUUUAUGUAUAAUGUACACGUAGGAUACUGUAUUGUUCCUUUAUUACAGCUAUCUGCGUUUGGCUAUUUGUGUUUAUGGAUGCCAAGUCAUACUGAAUGUAAAUGAAAAAUUGCUAUUUUUACAUCUUUUUGGGGUGGCGGCGAGGGGUGACGUUUUUUAAGCAUUUGUCAUUAGCUACAUGACAGAACUGACUGAGCUAAGAAAGAUCACAUACUAAACAUACAAGAGCAGGACAAUUAGCAACUGCUGUAUUGAUCCAGUCCAUCCCAGGACACCUAUAGUAACACUGAGGUCUACCGGUCACACUUCGACACCCUCACUACUGAGGAAUGGUUGACAUUGUACAGUUGGGAUUCACACCUUACUGUAGUCUAGAAUAGGUUACAAAAGAGCCCCCUAACAAAUGUAUCUCUGAACAGACAAAUUACGUUAUAUACUAGAGCUUCUUUUUUUUCUGGGUAAAAGGGUUCUGGUUUAUAUUCCAUGUGAAGGGCUUUGUCACGUUGUGCCAUUUCCCCCCCUGUUCUCUCAGUAUCAGUAGGCAGUCCCCAGUGACAUCACCAUGUCAUUAUGUCUGAGAACUCAAGCUAUCUCGCAGCAUCACAAUCUCUCACACCCUUUGUUCCCGGACGCAUCUCAAGAGCUUGCAGUCGCUUCCUCUCCUCGCCUACUGAGUUCACUAGCACAGGAGGCAGGAUGGAGACCAGGAGAGGAAUCCACUCUAGACCACUGAGGAUGUACCCCCAUUGAGAAAAUUGACACUGAGAUAUGCCUGUGUAAGGUUGAUUUGAUGCUGUACUGUAAUGUAAGGGUUGUUAUGAGAGCUGUGUAACUGUACUGUUUCAUAUAUCUUGUACUGUGCCAAUACCCUGUAAUAAUGAUCUGUCUUCUCUGAAUUCUGCUCUAUUUAUAUAUAAUAUAUUUAUAUAUAAUUAGGCUUCUUCCUUAUUCACUGUAUUUCUUUGGAUUUAUCACCCAUUUUUUGUGCCAUACCUGCAACUAAUGAUAAAAUAAAGAAAAAUGAUAUUUUA